GGCGGACGGGUGAGUAACACGUGAUCAACAUAUUCACGGUACCGGGAUAGCCAACCGAAAGGGUGGGUAAUACCGGAUAAGACCACAGCAUCGCAUGGUGCAGUGGUAAAAGGUUUACUCCGACCGUGGAGUGGAUCGCGGCCUAUCAGCUUGUUGGUGAGGUAACGGCUCACCAAGGCAACGACGGGUAGCCGGCCUGAGAGGGUGGACGGCCACACUGGGACUGAGAUACGGCCCAG
rnacentral:rRNA from 1 species